UACGUAGGGUCCGAGCGUUGUCCGGAAUUAUUGGGCGUAAAGGGCUCGUAGGCGGUUUGUCGCGUCGGGAGUGAAAACACGGGGCUUAACCCCGUGCCUGCUUCCGAUACGGGCAGACUAGAGGUAUGCAGGGGAGAACGGAAUUCCUGGUGUAGCGGUGAAAUGCGCAGAUAUCAGGAGGAACACCGGUGGCGAAGGCGGUUCUCUGGGCAUUACCUGGCGCUGAGGAGCGAAAGCUAGGGGAGCAAACGGG
rnacentral:rRNA from 1 species